CUUGGGCAGUAUUAGUAAAGAAAACCCAAGAAUACUUUCUAGAGAACUCACUUGACCUAGGAAUAAAGACUUUAAAAAUAUGUAUGUGCCUAAGUCCUUCUGAUUGAGGACAUGGACAGUAUGAGAGCGGUAGCAGCCCAGGCAUGCAGGGCCCUGUUCUCCCGGAGUCAGGUUGCUUGGGAAUGCAGCCCAAAGCCGGUGGUAAACUCCAUCGAAAGCUGAAUACCAGCAUGAAACCGAUGGUUAACAAGUACAAUGAGGGAAAGUUGGAAAGAACUAUGAAGAUAGAGCUAAACAAACAAACAAACAAACCCCAAAACCAUAUGCAGUAUUUAAGGUAAAGGCCAUCAGAUAUACUGUAGCAUAAAAUCCCAGACAUGGGGCUCUCUGGAUGUAUCCCAUCAUGCUGUGAGGAUUCUGCCCUUGCAAGCUGCUUCUAGCUGUCUUCCCAUUCUGCUCCCGAGUCAACGAAGGGUAGAGUCAUUUUCCUCUGUGUAUGGUUGUUUUCCUCCCGGUGAUGGGUGAUUCGAGGGCUCCAAUCACUGAUCACGUUCAUAGCAUUUCCCAGACAAGAAGUGAUAAGUACGUCUUGUGCUCUAUUGAAGA
rnacentral:ncRNA from 1 species